UCUCUCUCUCUCUCUCUCUCUCUCUCUCUCUCUCUCUCUCUCUCUCUCUCUCUCUCUCUCUCUCUCUUAAUUUCCUUCUCCUCCCCCUAGAAGAAAGGCGAAAGUCUUGGGGGAUAAAAGGAUAAGAGAGGGACAGAGAGAAAACUACACCAAUAAUUUUUUUUAAAAAAACUCCUAAUAAUCAAGAAAGGGAGCUUUUCUAUUGUGGGGAAUGUUGUCUGGCUCGAGGAAUUUUUAAUCUUGAUCAAAUUCUUUACACAGAUCUAUUAUUAUAUAUGUUCUAUAAUUUCUUUUAGAUCUUAUGUAGAUCUAUAAAUGUUUGUUGUUAGAUCUAUGAAUUUUGAUCAUAUUUUUUUGCUUCGUCGGACCAGGCUUCAUUCCCCUCAAAGAUUGCUGCCAUAUAUUAGUAUCGCGAUUAAGAUCUUUUUUGGUAUACAAAUAAGGUUCUUAAUACCACUGACUAUGAGUAGCUUUAAAUACAAAAUAUAUUAUACUUUCAAUGCGAAGAAGUUAACCCUGAGAACACUACUUCUAGCGGUUGUAUAUGGAAAAGUAUUUGCUACUGCAUUUUUGUUGCUAUGGUGCAGUACUGUUGAGUAUUUAGUGAUUGUUAUUUUUUUGGUAUGCAAACAGGACUAGGUUUAAUUAUUCUUAUAGCUCUUAGGUUUAAGUUGAGAAAACAAGAGAGGAAAGUCAUUAAUGAAUACAAUGAAAAACAUCUGACUGGAAAUGAAGUAAAUGAAUGAUAUAAAAAGGUGAGGUAGACAUCCUGCUGAGAAAAAAGAUAGGCUAUGUAAACCUAUAGGACAGGUAACAACAAUUAAGUGUAGGCUUUCGACUGCCUCCUACAUUUUAAGAAAAAACAAAACAAAGUUCAUUAAGAAUCUAGAAAACCUACAUUUCUGAAGUAGUAAUAACUUAGUCACAUUUAAAUUAUUAAUGAUGAAUCUUUCAAGAAAUUAUGCAAUCAUCUUUUUAUUGGUGUUUAUCACAAUAUUUGAAUGAAAGUGCAUUGCCGUUUCUUCAUGCUCUUUCAGCAACAGCAAAAGGUAGUGUUGGGCUUUGAACUGAUAAAAAAGGCAGUUCGUUUGCACGAAAUAUCCGCGUUCAUGCAGUAUUCAGGGAAAAGUCGUAUCCUAACGUCCUAAGGGGUGUGAUGUAGGCGAUAUCAGUGGCUGAUCAAGAAAUUGUUAGAAAAUGACUUAUAAGGGAAAGACUUGGUGAUUUUGAAUCUUUUUGACUUUGCAAGCUUGAAAGUGGGAACGUUAGCUUUUGUGUUACUAAUUUUUUACACACAUACACACUCGCAAAGAAAGUUAGCUCGAUUUUGAUGCAUGAAUUGUCCAUUCGUUGACUAUUUACUACAUUGUCCGUAGUAUUAAAGAAAAGCUUUGAGAGUAUAACACAUAAACUAUGCCUGUACCCAUUAGUUGCAGCAUAAAGGAUACUGAUCUAUCAAUCCACUGGGGAAAAUCACGAGGUAAGGUGAGAUGGCACAACGGCAGCGAGACGAGGAAAGGCACAUAAUUAGAAGGGUCUGUUUCUUUGUUUAUUUAUGAGCUAAUUGAUUUUAAGUUCUGUUUUUGUUUAUUCAAUAUUAUGCAACUUUUAUUAUUACCACAAAAUGUGGUAUCAUAAAGAACACCGAAUAUGGGUGUGUUAGCCUUGAAUUUGGAUAAGAUAGAAAAAAGUUUUUCUCUUCUAUUUAUUAAAA